rnacentral:rRNA from 1 species
CUCCUACGGGAGGCAGCAGUGGGGAAUAUUGCACAAUGGGGGGAACCCUGAUGCAGCGAUGCCGCGUGAAGGAUGAAGGUUUUCGGAUUGUAAACUUCUAUCAGCAAGGAAGAAAAAGGACAGUACUUGACUAAGCAGCCCCGGCUAACUACGUGCCAGCAGCCGCGGUAAUACGUAGGGGGCAAGCGCUAUCCGGAAUUACUGGGUGUAAAGGGUGCGUAGGCGGCAAUGCAAGUCAGUCGUGAAAGGUAUGGGCUUAACCCGUAAACUGCGAUUGAAACUGCAUAGCUGGAGUGCAGGAGAGGAAAGCGGAAUUCCUAGUGUAGCGGUGAAAUGCGUAGAUAUUAGGAAGAACACCAGUGGCGAAGGCGGCUUUCUGGACUGCAACUGACGCUGAGGCACGAAAGCGUGGGGAGCAAACAGGAUUAGAUACCCUGGUAGUCCACACGGUAAACGAUGAAUACUCGCUGUUUGCGAGAUACGGCAAGCGGCCAAGCGAAAGCGUAGGAUUC